AUUGAACGCUGGCGGCAGGCUUAACACAUGCAAGUCGAACGAGUGGCGGACGGGUGAGUAAUGUCUGGGAAUCUAGCUCAUGGAGGGGGAUAACUACGGGAAACUGUAGCUAAUACCGCGUACCAUAGGAUGAGCCCAAGUGGGAUUAGUUAGUUGGUGAGGUAAAGGCUCACCAAGCCGACGAUCUCUAGCUGGUCUGAGAGGAUGACCAGCCACACUGGAACUGAGACACGGUCCAGACUCCUACGCGAGGCAGCAGUGGGGAAUGUUGCGCAAUGGGGGCAACCUGACGCAGCCAUGCCGCGUGAAUGAAGAAGGCCGUCGGGUUGUAAAGUUCUUUCGGUGGCGAGGCGUUACCUACAGAAGAAGCACCGGCUAACUCCGUGCCAGCCGCCGCGGUAAUAC
rnacentral:rRNA from 1 species